rnacentral:lncRNA from 1 species
CGCGCGCGAUCGAAUGGCUGAGAUCCGUUCCUGCGCGCACGGACGGUCCAGAUUGGAUCGCUCACGGACAUCUCAGAAUGGAUCACGCACGGACGGCCCAGAUUGAAUCGUGAUGAACGGUCUAGAUUCACUCCCUAUUUAAUCAUGAUCAGACGAUCCAUAUUAAAAGCGGAUGGGUAUAAAUAACCCCAUCCGCACCCAAACCCUAACCCUAGCCGCCAGAGCCCUCGCCGAAGAAGACAACCCAGCCGCUGGGGAGCCGACAGCCGCCACCUGCCACUGC